UACGUAGGGUGCGAGCGUUGUCCGGAAUUAUUGGGCGUAAAGAGCUUGUAGGCGGUUUGUCGCGUCUGCCGUGAAAGCCCAGGGCUUAACCCUGGGUCUGCGGUGGGUACGGGCAGACUAGAGUGUGGUAGGGGAGACUGGAAUUCCUGGUGUAGCGGUGAAAUGCGCAGAUAUCAGGAGGAACACCGAUGGCGAAGGCAGGUCUCUGGGCCAUUACUGACACUGAGAAGCGAAAGCAUGGGGAGCGAACAGG
rnacentral:rRNA from 1 species